rnacentral:rRNA from 1 species
GGUGCCUACGGGGCGCAGCAGUGAGGAAUAUUGGUCAAUGGACGCAAGUCUGAACCAGCCAAGUAGCGUGCAGGAUGACGGCCCUCCGGGUUGUAAACCUCUUUUGUCGGGGAGCAAAGCGAACCACGUGUGGUUCAUUGAGAGUACCCGAAGAAAAAGCAUCGGCCAACUCCGUGCAAGCAGCCGCGGUAAUACGGAGGAUGCGAGCGUUAUCCGGAUUUAUUGGGUUUAAAGGGUGCGCAGGC